GGACACGAGGAUGACCUGGUGCAGCCUCAGUCACCCCAUUGAUUGCCAGGCUUGAUUCGGCUGACAUGGCCAGCUAGGAGGGUGUCCCUUCCUCCCCAAUGUUCCAUGGGGUCCCUCCCAAGUGGCACCCUCCGUCUGAAAGGAGGACCACCCUGGACAGAGGAGGAUCGUUCCUUGGCCAAGCUGUGCUCCCCUGCUAGACCUCCAUCCUGCGCUGCGGAAGGAAAUGCAGCGCUUCUGCUGGUCCACAGCUUUACAGGGCAGUUUGGCAGGCUCUUAGCGAUAGUUUGCUCCAUUGACUCAGCUGUAUUAA
rnacentral:snRNA from 1 species